rnacentral:rRNA from 1 species
UUCCGGUUGAUCCCGCCGGAGGCCAUUGCUAUUGGAGUUCGAUUUAGCCAUGCUAGUUGUACGAGCUUAGACUCGUAGCGGAAAGCUCAGUAACACGUGGCCAAACUACCCUAUAGACCAGCAUAACCUCGGGAAACUGAGGCUAAUACUGGAUAACGCCCCCACGUUUGAACACAGGGGGCUGGAAACGCUCCGGCGCUAUAGGAUGUGGCUGCGGCCGAUUAGGUAGACGGUGGGGUAACGGCCCACCGUGCCGAUAAUCGGUACGGGUUGUGAGAGCAAGAGCCCGGAGAUGGAUUCUGAGACAAGAAUCCAGGCCCUACGGGGCGCAGCAGGCGCGAAAACUUUACACUGCACGACAGUGCGAUAAGGGAACUCCAAGUGCGAGGGCAUAUAGUCCUCGCUUUUGUGUAUCGUAAGGUGGUACACGAAUAAGAGCUGGGCAAGACCGGUGCCAGCCGCCGCGGUAAUACCGGCAGCUCAAGUGAUGGCCAAUUUUAUUGGGCCUAAAGCGUCCGUAGCCGGCCGAACAGGUCCGUCGGGAAAUCUGCUCGCUCAACGAGCAGGCGUCCGACGGAAACCAGUUGGCUUGGGACCGGAAGACCCAAGGGGUACGUCUGGGGUAGGAGUGAAAUCCUGUAAUCCUAGACGGACCACCGAUCGCGAAAGCACCUUGGGAAGACGGAUCCGACGGUGAGGGACGAAAGCUAGGGUCACGAACCGGAUUAGAUACCCGGGUAGUCCUAGCUGUAAACGAUGCUCGCUAGGUGUGGCACAGGCUACGAGCCUGUGCUGUGCCGUAGGGAAGCCGAGAAGCGAGCCGCCUAGGAAGUACGUCUGCAAGGAUGAAACUUAAAGGAAUUGGCGGGGGAGCACUACAACCGGAGGAGCCUGCGGUUUAAUUGGAUUCAACGCCGGG